rnacentral:rRNA from 1 species
AGCGCAGGCGGCCUGGCCAGUUUGGAGUGAAAGUUCGGGGCUCAACCCCGGAUCUGCUCUGAAUACUGCCAGGCUUGAGUACGUGAGAGGUAGGUGGAAUUCAAGGUGUAGCGGUGGAAUGCGUAGAUAUCUUGAGGAACAUCGAUGGCGAAAGCAGCCUACUGGCACGAAACUGACGCUGAGGCUCGAAAGCGUGGGGAGCGAACAGGAUUAGAUACCCUGGUAGUCC